UACAGAGGGGGCAAGCGUUGUUCGGAAUUACUGGGCGUAAAGGGCGCGUAGGCGGCCUUCUAAGUCAGACGUGAAAUCCCUCGGCUUAACCGGGGAACUGCGUCUGAUACUGGAUGGCUUGAGUGUGGGAGAGGGAUGCGGAAUUCCAGGUGUAGCGGUGAAAUGCGUAGAUAUCUGGAGGAACACCGGUGGCGAAGGCGGCAUCCUGGACCACGACUGACGCUGAGUGAGCGAAAGCCAGGGGAGCAAACGGG
rnacentral:rRNA from 1 species